rnacentral:rRNA from 1 species
AUUGAACGCUGGCGGCAGGCUUAACACAUGCAAGUCGAGCGGGGUGAUGGUGCUUGCACUAUCACUUAGCGGCGGACGGGUGAGUAAUGCUUAGGAAUCUGCCUAUUAGUGGGGGACAACAUCUCGAAAGGGAUGCUAAUACCGCAUACGUCCUACGGGAGAAAGCAGGGGAUCACUUGUGACCUUGCGCUAAUAGAUGAGCCUAAGUCGGAUUAGCUAGUUGGUGGGGUAAAGGCCUACCAAGGCGACGAUCUGUAGCGGGUCUGAGAGGAUGAUCCGCCACGCUGGGACUGAGAGACGGCCCAGACUCCUACGGGAGGCAGCAGUGGGGAAUAUUGUACAAUGGGGGGAACCCUGGUCCAGCCAUGCCGCGUGUGUGAAGAAGGCCUUAUGGUUGUAAAGCACUUUAAGCGAGGAGGAGGCUCUUUUGGUUAAUACCCAAGAUGAGUGGACGUUACUCGCAGAAUAAGCACCGGCUAACUCUGUGCCAGCCGCCGCCGUAA